ACGCUCCAGAUUCCUCUCUCGGGUCUACACAUUGGCCUGAGUGGUGAUAAACGGAGGAAAAGUAAAACCGAAGUGUACUUGGAGUCUUUAAUGACUUACAAGUUCAUUUCAAACAUAA
rnacentral:snoRNA from 1 species